GACGAACGCUGGCGGCGUGCUUAACACAUGCAAGUCGAACGGUGAAGCCCUUCGGGGUGGAUCAGUGGCGAACGGGUGAGUAACACGUGAGCAACCUGCCCCUGGCUCUGGGACAACCACUGGAAACGGUGGCUAAUACCGGAUACGACCCGCCUCGGCAUCGAGUGUGGGUGGAAAGUUUUUCGGCUGGAGAUGGGCUCGCGGCCUAUCAGCUUGUUGGUGAGGUGAAGGCUCACCAAGGCGACGACGGGUAGCCGGCCUGAGAGGGCGACCGGCCACACUGGGACUGAGACACGGCCCAGACUCCUACGGGAGGCAGCAGUGGGGAAUAUUGCACAAUGGGCGAAAGCCUGAUGCAGCGACGCCGCGUGAGGGAUGACGGCCUUCGGGUUGUAAACCUCUUUCAGCUCCGAAGAAGCGAAAGUGACGGUAGGAGCAGAAGAAGCACCGGCUAACUACGUG
rnacentral:rRNA from 1 species